rnacentral:rRNA from 1 species
GAUGAACGCUGGCGGCGUGCCUAAUACAUGCAAGUCGAGCGAACAGACGAGGAGCUUGCUCCUCUGACGUUAGCGGCGGACGGGUGAGUAACACGUGGAUAACCUACCUAUAAGACUGGGAUAACUUCGGGAAACCGGAGCUAAUACCGGAUAAUAUAUUGAACCGCAUGGUUCAAUAGUGAAAGACGGUUUUGCUGUCACUUAUAGAUGGAUCCGCGCCGCAUUAGCUAGUUGGUAAGGUAACGGCUUACCAAGGCAACGAUGCGUAGCCGACCUGAGAGGAUGAUCGGCCACACUGGAGCUGAGACACGGUCCAGACUCCUACGGGAGGCAGCAGUAGGGAAUCUUCCGCAAUGGGCGAAAGCUUGACGGAGCAACGCCGCGUGAGUGAUGAAGGUCUUCGGAUCGUAAAACUCUGUUAUUAGGGAAGAACAAAUGUGUAAGUAACUAUGCACGUCUUGACGGUACCUAAUCAGAAAGCCACGGCUAACUACGUG